AGCAGCCGCGGUAAUUCCAGCUCCAAUAGCGUAUAUUAAAGUUGUUGCAGUUAAAAAGCUCGUAGUUGAAUUUCGGGACUAAUAUGUCGGUCGUACUUUGUACGUACUAGCAUUAUUGGUUUCUCCCUUCUGACGAACCACGAUGUCAUUAAUUUGGUGUCUUGGGAAAUCAGAACUGUUACUUUGAAAAAAUUAGAGUGUUUAAAGCAAGCUCGCGCUUGAAUACAUUAGCAUGGAAUAAUGAAAUAGGACGUUUGAUUCUAUUUUGUUGGUUUCUAGGAUCGACGUAAUGAUUAAUAGGGAUAGUUGGGGGCAUUAGUAUUCAAUUGUCAGAGGUGAAAUUCUUGGAUUUAUUGAAGACUAACUACUGCGAAAGCAUUUGCCAAGGAUGUUUUCAUUAAUCAAGAACGAAAGUUAGGGGAUCGAAGACGAUCAGAUACCGUCGUAGUCUUAACCAUAAACUAUGCCGACUAGGGAUCGGAUGAUGUUAAUUUUUAAUGACUCAUUCGGCGCCUUACGG
rnacentral:rRNA from 1 species